rnacentral:lncRNA from 1 species
CCUGGCUGUAAGCAAACCACAAUAUUCAGAAUUCAUUGAGAUUUCAGGAUGUAGUACCGCCCUUGUCAAGGUGGAUCCAAUUGAGAAUGGGUAUCAAAAGGUAGCUAGCUAAUGAUACUCCCUGGAUUAGCCAUUCAUCCAUAGAACGUCAGCUUGCAAAUAACUAAUUAUUUGUAUUUUUGUGUAGAGAACAACUAACAUUUUGUCAUGGUGUGGUGCUCAGUACUUGGAUGUGCAAACUACAAGCAAGCACAGGCUGUUGGGGUAACAUUUCAUUGGUUACCUUACUAAGAAGUCAAGCAGAGAUGAGAUCUAAACCCGGCCAGAACUUGUCCGUGUAGGCCAAUUUUGGUUUCCAAUCUCUCCAAAAGAAUGUGGUGAUCGAUGGUAUCAAAAGCAGCACUAAGGUCUAGGAGCACGAGGACAGAUGCAGAGCCUCGGUCUGACGCCAUUAAAAGGUGAUUUACCACCUUCACAAGUGCAGUCUCAGUGCUAUGAUGGGCUCUAAAACCAG